UGGAGCUGCUCCUGCGCAAAGACACACUGAUUUAAAAAGCCUUUGUGUACUCCGUGACUUGGUACAUUCCACUCCUCCCCUCUGUGUCGAGCUAUGUGGAAUGUUCCACUUCCCUUGUCGGAGCUUCUUCCAAGCCGAGACAGAAACAGGAAGAGGACGAGGAGCAGCGGGAAUAAACACAUGGUAACUGCUGCUUAAAUGUGAGCCCCACAUGUCUUAGAUUCUCUGUUGACGCUCUGUUCAAACCUGCUGUUAACAUCAGACCUGAGCGAUCCGAUCACACGUGUUCAGAUUACACCUGCUACUGCUGCUAAUGUGACGUCACUGCUCCUCAGCAAACACACGAUCACCGUGUAACCAUCAGGUGCAGGAGGACCUGGCUGACCUGGAGGAGGACGAGGACGAGGACGAGGAGCAGCACGGACAAAUGUGUGGUAACUGAUUCUUAAAAAUGAUCCACACAUUUAUUAGAUGUUCUGUUGAUGCUCUGUUCACACCUGCUGUUAACAUCUGAUCCGAGUCAUCCGAUCAUAGUUGUUCAGAUUACACCUGCUACUGCUAUUGCUAAUAUCAUGUCAAAUGAUGAUUCUCAAAUGUCUUUUUUUAUCCACCAACCAAAAAUUAUUCAGUUUUAAUUCCUUCUUUGUUACAAGGAACAAUGAAACCGGAAAAUGUUCAACAUUUAUAAUAAAAAACAAACAAUUAAUCCA